UGAUGCUCUCUGCUAAGUCACAUUAUGGAGUCAGACAACUUCCUUUGGAUUGUGAUAUAACAGUUGACCUGGAAAAUGGGAGAUUUAAAACAGUCAUCUCAACAGACACAGAUGGACUCACACUAAGAGAUGAGUUUCAUGGAGGUAACCAGAGGGGUCAUAUAUAAACCAGACACACAGACCAGGAAGUGCUGGCAUAUAUGGUGACUCCGGUAAACAAGAAUCUUGUGGCGUGGGAACACACACAGACUCUGAGGGCAGAAAAUGGUGGAGGGGACAGAAGAAAGGCAUUUCUUCUCAUGGCUGUAAAGUGGUAUAAUGGGCCCUACUAGGACCCCUAGGAGAAAAGGUCCUAGUGUUUAAGUGAGAGUACAUGCUUCAGGGAGGUCAAAUAAGUGAAAACAGAAAAGUGUUUAUUGAAUUUGGUAAGUUUUUACCUUUAUAAAAGAAGUUCAGUCUCAAGAAUUAAAGUGGAGAGAGAGUCUAUGAGCAAAUAUUCACCAUGAAUAUAUGAAAGUGAUCUGGACAAGCCAAGUUAUAGGAUGGAUGCUCUAAUAGCAUAAACAUCAAAAUAGAAAAAACUCUUCCAUUAGAAUGCAGGAGGGGGGAAGCAUUGGGGAGCAAAGAGAAUACUGCUCUUACUUCCAAGAUGCAUACACGUAUGUUAGUAGAGACUACAUGAGCAGCCUCAACGCGGGAUUGCUCUAGGAGGUGUGUUAUAGGUUCCAUUUGAAGCAAAGAGGAGGAAAAAGAAGGAUUUUCUCAACAGCCUAAGAAUAGCGUAGAGAUUAUUUCUAAUGAAAGGAAGAGAUGAAUGGGCAAAUGAAUUGGGGGAGAGGAAAUAGUGGGUAUAAGAGAGAAAAAUAGAUAAC
rnacentral:lncRNA from 1 species